AGUGAACGCUGGCGGUAGGCCUAACACAUGCAAGUCGAACGGCAGCACAGUAAGAGCUUGCUCUUACGGGUGGCGAGUGGCGGACGGGUGAGGUAUACAUCGGAAUCUACUUUUUCGUGGGGGAUAACGUAGGGAAACUUACGCUAAUACCGCAUACGACCUACGGGUGAAAGCAGGGGAUCUUCGGACCUUGCGCGAUUGAAUGAGCCGAUGUCGGAUUAGCUAGUUGGCGGGGUAAAGGCCCACCAAGGCGACGAUCCGUAGCUGGUCUGAGAGGAUGAUCAGCCACACUGGAACUGAGACACGGUCCAGACUCCUACGGGAGGCAGCAGUGGGGAAUUUUGGACAAUGGGCGAAAGCCUGAUCCAGCAAUGCCGCGUGGGUGAAGAAGGCCUUCGGGUUGUAAAGCCCUUUUGUUGGGAAAGAAAAGCAGCAGGUUAAUACCCCGCUGUUCUGACGGUACCCAAAGAAUAAGCACCGGCUAACUUCGUG
rnacentral:rRNA from 1 species